rnacentral:rRNA from 1 species
ACGAACGCUGGCGGCGUGCUUAACACAUGCAAGUCGAACGGAAAGGCCUGCUUUCCCUUGUGGAUUGCGGGUACUCGAGUGGCGAACGGGUGAGUAACACGUGAGUGAUCUGCCCCCAACUUGGGUAUAAGCCUGGGAAACUGGGUCUAAUUCCCGAUAGGACUGCAGGGUGGUGCCUGUGGUGGAAAACGAUUUUCUAGUGGUUGGGGAUGAGCUCGCGGCCUAUCAGCUUGUUGGUGGGGUAAUGGCCUACCAAGGCGGCGACGGGUAGCCGGCCUGAGAGGGUGGACGGCCACAUUGGGACUGAGAUACGGCCCAGACUCCUACGGGAGGCAGCAGUGGGGAAUAUUACACAAUGGGCGGAAGCCUGAUGCAGCGACGCCGCGUGGGGGAUGACGGCCUUCGGGUUGUAAACUCCUUUCGACCGCGAGGAAGCCACCUGGUUGGAAGGGUGGUGACGGUAGUGGUAGAAGAAGCACCGGCUAACUACGUG